rnacentral:rRNA from 1 species
GCACGGUUGUAGUUGAUGUGCAGUCUGGCCUGCCCACUGAAGUUUUAAAGGGCCGCGGUAUUUGGACCGUGCUAAGGUAGCAUAAUAAAUAGUCUUUUAAUUGAAGUCUAGUAUGAAUGGUCGGACAUGAAGUAAGCUGUCUUAACUCUGAUAUUUGAAUUUUACUUUUAAGUGAAAAGGCUUAAAUUAAAUGGUGGGACGAUAAGACCCUAUAAAGCUUUACGUCUUAUUUUUGAGUUGUGGGAUUUAGGUUUCUUAUUCUUAUCAAAUAAGACGUUUCGUUGGGGCGACGAAAAUAUAAAAUAGUAACUGUUUUAUUUUAAAAAUACUUUUAUGUAGGUGAGUUGAUCCUUUAUAGAGAUUAAAAGAUUUAAGUUACUUUAGGGAUAACAGCGUGAUUUAUCUUGAGAGUUCAUAUCGACAGAUGUAGUUGCGACCUCGAUGUUGAAUUAAAAUACCCCCUAGGUGCAGCCGUUUUGGUGGUAGGUCUGUUCGACCUUUAAAAU